GAUGAACGCUGGCGGCGUGCCUAAUACAUGCAAGUCGAGCGAACAGAUGAGGAGCUUGCUCCUCUGACGUUAGCGGCGGACGGGUGAGUAACACGUGGAUAACCUACCUAUAAGACUGGGAAAACUUCGGGAAACCGGAGCUAAUACCGGAUAAUAUAUUGAACCGCAUGGUUCAAUAGUGAAAGACGGUUUUGCUGUCACUUAUAGAUGGAUCCGCGCCGCAUUAACUAGUUGGUAAGGUAACGGCUUACCAAGGCAACGAUGCGUAGCCGACCUGAGAGGGUGAUCGGCCACACGGGAACUGAGACACGGUCCAGACUCCUACGGGAGGCAGCAGUAGGGAAUCUUCCGCAAUGGGCGAAAGCCUGACGGAGCAACGCCGCGUGAGUGAUGAAGGUCUUCGGAUCGUAAAACUCUGUUAUUAGGGAAGAACAAAUGUGUAAGUAACUAUGCACGUCUUGACGGUACCUAAUCAGAAAGCCACGGCUAACUACGUG
rnacentral:rRNA from 1 species